GCCACUGCAGCGAUGGAGACCAAGCGAAGAAAUUUCCCCUGAAAAUGCAGCUAUGCCCUUGAGCGGCAUCUGCCUCCCAAGAGCGGAGCGAUAGUUGACCCAGCGAAGCUGUGCCUACCUAGGGCAAGUGAACCGGCCGGUCUAUCUAAAUCAGUGCUCCGGUCUGACGCAGAGAAAAUUAAAACUGUGGUGCCUUGAACUCUAAAUUGAUUCUUCGAAAACAUUUGGAGAAAAUGUUUUAUAAUUUUGGGGAUAACAGUACCUGUAAGUUCAGAUAAAGAAAUUAAUUUAUAUAUAUAUAUUUAUUUUCCUCUUUUUCUCUCCCUCCUCUCGAGUGGUGGCGCGCAAUUCUCUUUCCCGAAUUGAUCCGUCAGUCUAAGCCCUAACCACUACAACCUUCAAAUCUUCCUCCAGUCACCAUUUGUGAAAAUACCGCGUUCAAUUACCUUCCUUCAUUAUCGAAUUAGCCUUCAACUUUGUCCAACCCUAAUUAUUUUACGGUAAAUUCCCCCAAUUUCUUUACCGUAACCUCUUUUCUUCCACCAACGACGAUGAAGCCAACAGCACCACUUGUUCCAAUUCCAGCUGCCUACGAAUCCACUGGAAAGCAUGGAAGAAAGGUUGUGUUGAAUUGAUUCGAUUUGAGUAAUUAAGGGCAUUCGAUGAAAAUCUGCAUAUAACAAGCUGUUGCUGUGCGCGUAUUCUGGAAUUUUCAGAAUGUUCAGAAAUAGAUUUGACACUUAGUUUGCAAUAAGUGUGAGGAUGUCGAUGUUUGGAAAGUUCCUAAACCACGAAGAUACUUCAAUGAUGUCGAAAAAGGGAGUUCCGUUGCAUCAUAUUUUGAAUGUUGCAUUACAUCUAUGAUAAAUUAUGCUAUGUUGAAGUGUUGUUUGGUUUGAUUGUAGCUCCCUCCGAUUUUUAUCAAGGUUGUUCGUGGACAAACAACAAUUCAAGUGUGAGGAGGGAAGUCAUCGGCACCACCAAAAAUUUUGAAAAGAAUUCGGCUGGAACAUCUACAAAAUCAGGGAAGUUUAUUUGCAUUAUAAUUAAUCUCUUUGCUUAGGUCUUGUAAUGUAUUUUUGGUGCUAUGUUACUUGGUUAUUUGUAUAAUAAUGUAUAUUAAGUUGUUAAAGUUAGUCUCUAGUGUUGUUUUGUAGGUGUGCUUUUAGUUUAGUUAGAUUAGUUACAGUAAUUGUUAUAUAUGCAAGAAUAGGAUAGUAUGUUGUAAUUCGUUGGCUUAGUUUCAAUCGAUAGCUUAAGUUGCUGCUGCAUUUCAUUAGUCUUAGAUGGCCUUGUUUUGGAUUAAGUCUGCUGUUGUGUUUUGCAUUAGUAUAAGAGUGCUAGUUGGACAGUUUACCUGCAGUAGUAAAACAGAUUGACAUUCUGAUGUUGCCCUUGGUUGCCUGCUUGUUUAAUAAGAUUAGAUGAGUUUAGUUCUUUGGUUAAUUUUAAUCUCUGUUGUACCUUUAACAUAACUUUAGUUUCGUGUUUUGCUUCCACUUAUUUUCUAAUUAAAUUGGUUGCAGAGUAUGAUAGCUAAGUUAACAUAGUUCUUUGUUUGAUUUUAAUUUAUGUUUAAUUGUUUAGUUUAGAUAGAUAAUCAGAGGUUCAUUUAAUUAAUUAGUAUUUUUUUAAAUUUAUUUGGGGUUAAUUUAUUUUGGCUUAAAUUAUUCCUAUUUAUUUUCAAUCUAUGUUGUUUAAUUUAUGUCGAUUAAUUUAUUUUGUUUAAUUUGUUGUUGUCUAAUUUAUGUUGAAUUAAAUUAUUUUAUAUUAUUAUAUUUAUUUUUAUUUAAAAUAAAGUUAGCCGCAAAAUAUGUUAUUUUCUCGAGUCAAUCGAUUUUAAUUGUGUUUCAUUUGAGUUUGAAUUUGAAUCUAUUCAAUAAUUGAAAUUCUUUUAAGUAUAAGUAUAAAUCGGGAUUUUGAUAAAGUUGGUCGAUAUCCCCUUCAUUUCAUUUGUUCCAUACUUAGUCUAAUUUUUAGAACUUUCGGCUAUUUAGUUGCGCUUGUUAGCGGAGAGGAUAGAAUAUGUUUCCUUAAAAAUGGGAUUGACGAACGAAUAGUGUGAGGAGAAUGCUGAUUAUCUUUAUAUGUGACUUAACUUGGCAAAAAAAAAAAAAAUUGACGCAAAAAAUGUCAAAAUUAAUUUAUUCUCCGUGGCAAAGUCUACCGGACCGUCUUGCUUCUUAAUUUAUUGCACCAUGUAAUUUAUUGCGGCAGUAUAUUUAAAACUUUGAGUCGUCGCAUCAUCUUUGGAAGCUACUCCGAAUACUUAAGUUUGAAAAUAUUUCGGGAGACAUAAUUUAGAGUCUUUGUAGAUGAGCAAUAAUUCAUAAAUGACUUAAGGAUCUGAAUUUUAGCUAAGAUUCGCUUGCACACCAUUGUUGAUAUUACCGACAAUAUUGAGUCCUUAUUUAGAAAAUACUUGGUUUAAUUUCACUAAUUGAAUUUAUUCGAGGAUGAAUAAAGGUUAAGUGUGAGGAGUUUGAUAACUCUUGUUUGGACAUAUUUUAUAACUUAUUUUUAAUUAAUUAAUUAAUUAUUUAUGUCGAGUUUAGGUAUAAUUUAUGUAAAUUUCUAGUGACAGUAGAGUUUCUGCAAUUUAUCUUUUCAGUUUCUUCAAUUUAUCUCCUCAUUUCAUCCAUUGAAAUCUAGCCAUUAAGGAACGCAAAAGUCAGACACAAACGCCUCGCUUCAUCCUUUUUGAGAUACGAUAUUCGCAUAUUCCCUGAGUUUGACCCGAGCACUCACUGGUUAAAGAUAUUUUUUUAUUUUUGACGAAAUUUUGGAGUUACUACACGAACACGCACGACACUAUUUUCAUUUUAUACAUAUAUCAUUUUUGUGUAUCUUAAAAGAUAUUUUUAAAUCUCCAAAAAUCUUCGAUCAACCGCCAACAGCAUCAA